GUCUAUGGCCGUACCACCCUGAAUGCACCCAAUCUCGUCUGAUCUUGUGAAGCUAAGCAGGGUCAGGCCUGGUUAGUAUUUGGAUGGGAGACAUCCUAUAGAUCUAAUUGUUAUUAGUA
ensembl:rRNA 5S_rRNA 5S ribosomal RNA